rnacentral:tRNA from 1 species
GAGGGUAUAGCUCAGUGGUAGAACAUGUGCUUCGCAUGCACAAGGUCCUGGGUUCAAUCCCCAGUACUUCUG